GUCCACGCCGUAAACGAUGGAUACUAGCUGUUGGGGCAACUUCAGUGGCUAAGCGAAAGUGAUAAGUAUCCCACCUGGGGAGUACGGGCGCAAGCCUGAAACUCAAAGGAAUUGACGGGGCCCGCACAAGCGGUGGAGCAUGUGGUUUAAUUCGAUGAUACGCGAGGAACCUUUACCAAGGCUUAAAUGUAGACUGACCGGUUUUGGAAACAGACCUUUUCGCAAGACAGUUUUACAAGGUGCUGCAUGGUUGUCGU
rnacentral:rRNA from 1 species